rnacentral:tRNA from 1 species
GCAGCGAUGUUCGAGUGGUCAAGUAGAUUGACUCGAAAUCAAUUGGGAUCUGCCCGCGUAGGUUCGAACCCUGCUCGCUGCG